rnacentral:lncRNA from 1 species
GGAAACACAGCUUUUAAAAGCAACAUUACCAACCAUUUUGAGGCAUGGGUUUUAGGAAUUAGGUACCAUAUUGAAUGGAUCUCACCUUUCACCAGGUCUGAAAAUGGUCAUUCAUUUUUAUGCAUUUACCUUUAAGCACCAUAUAAAUAAUAUCUAAUGUACUUCUAAAAAAGUGAAUGCUGUAUUUCAAAGCAGCCGAACUCUUUUCAGGGCAAAAUGGUGCCUUAAGCAGACCAUGAUUUUUCUCAUCAAAAAUACACCAUCCACUUUUAGGUUAGAGCCACAAAGCUCCAUAAAAACCAGAAGUCAGAGUGAAGCAUAUCUUGGCAGAUGAUAAUACCCAUGUAUUGAUAAGUGUAAUGGUCAGUUAUUUAUGAGUCCUGUCUACUCACAGAUCAGCUGGAUCACAGGUAUUACUUAGAGAUGGAAGCUGAGCAGUAAGCACUUGAUAGAUGGAAGCUGGAUCAAAUAGAGAAUUGGGUUUUAUAGGUUGAACUGUGCACCCCCUAAAAUUUACCUAUUAUAGUCUUAAUCCACAAUACCUCAGGACCUGAUUCUACUUGGAGAUGGAUCCUUAAAGAGGUAAUAAAAUUAAAAUGAAGUCUUCAGGGUGAGCCCUAAUUUGAUAUGACUGGUGUCAUUUUUAAAAGAGAUUAGGGGAGUGCCCAUCAUGGCACAGCAGAAACAAACUGGACUAGGAACCAUGAGGUUGCGGGUUCAGUCCCUGGCCUCACUCAGUGGGUUAGGACCCGGCAUUGCCAUGGGCUGUGGUGUGGGUUGCAGACAUGGCUCGGAUCUGAUGUUGCUGUAGCUGUGGCAUAGGCCGGUGGCUGUGUCUCCGAUUGGACUCCUGGCCUGGGAACCUCCAAGUGCUGCAGGGGGAGAAGGUGGCUAUCUAUAAGACAAAGAGAAAGGCUUCAAAAGAAACCAAUCCUAACAACACGUUGAUCUCAAACUUCUAGAUUUCAGAAUUGUGAGAAGAUGAAUAUCUCUUAAGUCACCAGAUCAGUACUUGUUAGGCAGUCCUAGCAAUAAGAUACACUGUGUUUAAGAGACAUAAGGAGAUUGUUAAUUCAGCCAUACUUCUCUGAUGCAAAUACUUAAGGUGCGUAGAUGCAAAGAAUUGAGUUUUUGAUUGGUUGGUUGGUAACAUGUGGAAGGUGGAACCUGCUCCAGAGCAGCAAUCCAAGAGCUGCAGUAACAAGUCAGAUCCCCAACCCACUGUGCCACAGAGAACUCCUAGAUGCAAUGAAUUUUUAAAAAGCAAUCAGCAUCUUGAAAGACAAGGCAGAAUCUCUCUGCUGUGAGAGAUUCAAAGUGGUUGGCAUUUUUUCUUGUGCCUAGAAAAUUAAAGCCAGAAAGAAAUUUAGAAAGAUCAUCAGAUUUCAGGAAUUGUUCAGUCUUGUUUGUUAUCUGCAGAACUUAUGUCUUUAGCUUUGAUAUUUUAACAUAAUACAGAGCUUGACAGACACAGCACUGGGGGCUUGUGCACUGUGUUGCAGGAAUCUGAUACAUGGAUAAAUUUGCCAGAAAUAGUGAGGUGUGGAUGCUAGAGAUAGAACUAAAUGAGCUCACUUAUAUAACCUCUCAUUCUUAGAGGAGUAAUUGCAGCUCAGAGAUAUUUAGUGACUUACUGCCGGUCAGUCAGUCAGUCCAGCAGUGCAGGAUGGAACUGGAACAAACUCAGCUUAGGUUGUUGGAAAAACAAGACUUGGAGAUGAGUAUUUUGUGUGAUAAAAACAGGACAUUAAAAAAAAUUUUUUUUAAUUAAAAAAAAAAAAUAGGAGUUCCCGUCCUGGCGCAGUGGUGAACGAAUCCGACUAGGAACCAUGAGGUUGCCGGUUUGGUCCCUACCCUUGCUCAGUGGGUUAACGAUCCGGCAUUGCCUGAGCUGUGGUGUAGGUUGCAGACGCGGCUCGAAUCCCGCGUUGCUGUGGCUCUGGCGUAGGCUGGUGGCUACAGCUCCAGUUCGACCCCUAGCCUGGGAACCUCCAUAUGCCGCGGGAGCAGCCCAA